rnacentral:rRNA from 1 species
GGGGAAUAUUGCGCAAUGGGGGAAACCCUGACGCAGCAACGCCGCGUGAAGGAAGAAGGCCUUCGGGUUGUAAACUUCUUUGAUUGGGGACGAAGGAAGUGACGGUACCCAAAGAACAAGCCACGGCUAACUACGUGCCAGCAGCCGCGGUAAUACGUAGGUGGCGAGCGUUGUCCGGAAUUACUGGGUGUAAAGGGCGCGUAGGCGGGGAUGCAAGUCAGAUGUGAAAUUCCGGGGCUUAACCCCGGCGCUGCAUCUGAAACUGUAUCUCUUGAGUGCUGGAGAGGAAAGCGGAAUUCCUAGUGUAGCGGUGAAAUGCGUAGAUAUUGGGAGGAACACCAGUGGCGAAGGCGGCUUUCUGGACGGUAACUGACGCUGAGGCGCGAAAGCGUGGGGAGCAAACAGGA